rnacentral:lncRNA from 1 species
GACUGCAAGCAACAGAGAAUCAAACAGAAAUGGCCUAGGGAGUCCCUUUGUGGCUCCCCAGUUAACAAUCUGACUGGAUCAUGAGGAUGCAGGUUCAAUCCCUGGCCUCUAUCAGUGGGCGAAGGAUCUAGUGCUACCAUGAGCUGUGCUGUGGUGUAGGCUGGCGGCCGCAGCUCCAGUUGGACCGCUAGCCCGGGAACUUCCAUAUGCUGUGGGUGCAGCCCUAAAAAGCAAAAACAAACAAAAAAAUGAAACAAAACAAAACAAAAAAUCCACAAAAAAAAAUCAGAAAUGGCCUAAACAAAGAAGAAAACGUGUUAUCCCAUACUACAAGAAGUUUGGGGGUUGAGUGGUUAAACGCAUGAUUAGUUUAGAAACUUGACAGCACCACCCAGGACCCAUUUUCCCUAAGGCGCUGCUGCCCCCCACCCUGUAGGCUUAGCCACCGAAGCAAAGACACCCCCCUUCCCCAACCAGAGCCCUGCGUCAGGACUGGAAGGGGCCUCCUUCCCUCCAUCCCCUUCCAGAACCUCGGCAGAAGACUCCCCUUGACGUCUCAUUCCAUCCCAUACUGGUCACUUUGCAGGGGAACGGAUUUACCAUGGUGGCCAGAGACAAUUAAGUCGCCCCCAUCUCUGGAGAACACUUGACCACUCAGUACCCAGCAACUCGGGUACCCCUGGCAAGAAAGAGACAGGUGAUACCCACUGGGUCCUGUCCACAGCGCCUGCCCCCAGCAACCUGUCUACCUGGAAAACUGAGGGGGUGCCACGCGGGUCUGUGUCUUCUCUGUAGUUUGCCCGAGUCUUUCCCAUUAGGCCUGGGUGAUGGGCCAGCCGUGGUGAUCCUCACCCGUUUGCCUGGGCACCGUUUGGGAAACGUCCCCCUGCUCACCACGGAGAUGAAAGACCAGGUCCCUGGAGGGGCUUCGCGGAAGGAUUUUUCACCCCAGUAAAGCGGAAGACAAGCCAGGGGUGUCCUGCCCUACGCGCCGUCUGCCUCUGAGCCGCCGCCAGCUCACACCCUUGAGCAGAAACGUUGCAGGGAGGCAGAAAGCGCUGAGUCUCAUGGA